CAAUAUAGUGUUACAGAAAUGUCACUAGUUUAAAAACAAAUGCUUCAAACAAUCUAUAAAAUUUGUCAAGUAAUUUAAGAUUUUUUUUUUUUUUAGAUGGAAUCUCGCUCUGUUGCCCAGGCUGGAAUGUAGUACAGUGGUGUGAUCUCAGCUCACUGCAACCUCCGCCUCCUGAGUUCAAGUGAUUCUCCUGCCUCAGCCUCCCAAGUAGCUGGGAUUACAGCUACUGGAAGCUUUUUGAUGACAUUGUAAAUGUUCUGCAACUUUUGACAAAUCAUAUAUUCAUGCAAACACAACCACAAUCAAGGUAUAGAAUAGUUGUA
rnacentral:lncRNA from 1 species